rnacentral:rRNA from 1 species
CAUUUAUGCCUAGUACGGCGAGUGAGCGGCACAGCUCAAAUUUGAAAUCUGGCUCUUUUAGAGUCCGAGUUGUAAUUUGCAGAGGGCGCUUUGGCUUUGGCAGCGGUCCAAGUUCCUUGGAACAGGACGUCACAGAGGGUGAGAAUCCCGUACGUGGUCGCUGGCUAUUGCCGUGUAAAGCCCCUUCGACGAGUCGAGUUGUUUGGGAAUGCAGCUCUAAAUGGGAGGUACAUUUCUUCUAAAGCUAAAUAUUGGCCAGAGACCGAUAGCGCACAAGUAGAGUGAUCGAAAGAUGAAAAGCACUUUGGAAAGAGAGUCAAACAGCACGUGAAAUUGUUGAAAGGGAAGCGCUUGCAGCCAGACUUGCUUACAGUUGCUCAUCCGGGUUUCUACCCGGUGCACUCUUCUGUAGGCAGGCCAGCAUCAGUUUGGGCGGUAGGAUAAAGGUCUCUGUCACGUACCUCCUUUCGGGGAGGCCUUAUAGGGGAGACGACAUACUACCAGCCUGGACUGAGGUCCGCGCAUCUGCUAGGAUGCUGGCGUAAUGGCUGUAAGCGGCCCGUCUUGAAACC